CACAGAGGAAAAGAGUGCUGGAGAAAUGCCAGGGAGAUAGGUACCGAAACGUUCCAGAUGGAAAGUCUCGUCUUCAGGUGGCCGUAGCAGUAAAUGUCAGGGUCAAACAGGGGGUGUAUUCUUGGGAGAGCUUCAGCUCGUCUGUGACCUAGUGUCCAGCCAGCUUCCUGGGAAGGAGGCUGCAUCCUGACAUUGAAGCCCUGUGUGCUAGGAUGAGUGUGUUACGCAGAGCCUUACAAAUGAGAAAAUCUUGCGUCCUCAGGACAGGCAGUUAGUGUUGCUGUCUGGAAUACACUGGCUACCUCCCUCCUCCCCCCACCACUUAAAAUUCCCUGAAUCCGACAGUGGUAGGGAAAGGGCUGAUCCUGGAGAAGAUUGUUCCUUGAUAAUCCUAGUAUGAUUCAUAAUGGUUGCAGCAGAUGAGCCGCGAGGUUUGUGGCUCAGUCUGCAGCUAAGGAAGGCUCUUCCCUGGGGAGGUGUGUCCAGCUUCCCGGAAAGACCUCAGCUGUCUAGCUGGUCUGGGCUGCCCAGUUCUUAGCAGUGCAUCAGCAAUGAGCAGCCGCUGACCAUCAGGCAGCGUUUCCC
rnacentral:lncRNA from 1 species